GACGGCGCAGCUCACUGGCGCGAGCGCAGGGCUUCCUGCCCUGCUGUUGCUGGUUCGAAUCCAGCCGCCGUCA
rnacentral:tRNA from 1 species